AGGGCAGUGGCGCAAUUGGCAGCGCAGCGGUCUCCAAAACCGCAGGUUGCAGGUUCGAGUCCUGUCUGCCCUG
rnacentral:tRNA from 1 species